AGAGUUUGAUCCUGGCUCAGGAUGAACGCUAGCGACAGGCCUAACACAUGCAAGUCGAGGGGCAGCGAAGAGGUAGCAAUACCUUUGUCGGCGACCGGCGCACGGGUGAGUAACACGUAUGCAAUCCACCUGUAACAGGGGGAUAACCCGGAGAAAUCCGGACUAAUACCCCAUAAUAUGGGCGCUCCGCAUGGAGGGCUCAUUAAAGAGAGCAAUUUUGGUUACAGACGAGCAUGCGCUCCAUUAGCCAGUUGGCGGGGUAACGGCCCACCAAAGCGACGAUGGAUAGGGGUUCUGAGAGGAAGGUCCCCCACAUUGGAACUGAGACACGGUCCAAACUCCUACGGGAGGCAGCAGUGAGGAAUAUUGGUCAAUGGUCGGCAGACUGAACCAGCCAAGUCGCGUGAGGGAAGACGGCCCUACGGGUUGUAAACCUCUUUUGUCGGAGAGUAAAGUACGCUACGUGUAGUGUAUUGCAAGUAUCCGAAGAAAAAGCAUCGGCUAACUCCGUGCCAGCAGCCGCGGUAAUACGGAGGAUGCAAGCGUUAUCCGGAUUUAUUGGGUUUAAAGGGUGCGUAGGCGGCACGCCAAGUCAGCGGUGAAAUUUCCGGGCUCAACCCGGACUGUGCCGUUGAAACUGGCGAGCUAGAGUGCACAAGAGGCAGGCGGAAUGCGUGGUGUAGCGGUGAAAUGCAUAGAUAUCACGCAGAACCCCGAUUGCGAAGGCAGCCUGCUAGGGUGCGACAGACGCUGAGGCACGAAAGCGUGGGUAUCGAACAGGAUUAGAUACCCUGGUAGUCCACGCAGUAAACGAUGAAUACUAACUGUUUGCGAUACAAUGUAAGCGGUACAGCGAAAGCGUUAAGUAUUCCACCUGGGGAGUACGCCGGCAACGGUGAAACUCAAAGGAAUUGACGGGGGCCCGCACAAGCGGAGGAACAUGUGGUUUAAUUCGAUGAUACGCGAGGAACCUUACCCGGGCU
rnacentral:rRNA from 1 species